AAUAAUGUAAGUGAAGGAAACAUCAACAGAUGUUACCCAUCUAUUGCCAGUACAGGCAAGCAUUAAGGAUUCAGAAGACUUUACAGAAGACUUUACAGAAGACUAUGAGUAUGGUGCUUUGUAACGACCUGUAAGAGAUGUUGAAGUGUAAUAUGUUGGCCCUGUGUACAAUCCUAAUGGAGAUACAGGAUAUAGCUACAAAGAAAAGCUGAGGACUGCUUUAUAACUAAGGCUGGCUUUCAGAUAUAAUAAUAGCCAAAGACUUCAACUUCUGGCUAAGAUGGAGUAACGUGGACUGGAUUUAUCCUCCCACCCUGAGCAACUGGAAAACUGGACAAAAAAUGUGAAACAGCAAUUUUUAGACAUUGGACAGUAGAGAGCACAGGACUCUCAUCCCUGAGAGAAGAGAAGCAAACAAGAAAUAUGCGCAUAUGGAGAAUAUCUUGAGUACAACUUCAGGGAAUUUGAAGACUUUCUGAAGUCCAUCUCAGCACCCCGUGGGGUCCAAACCUCACAGUAGAGACAGGGUUUCUCCAGGUUCACCAGGC
rnacentral:lncRNA from 1 species